GGGGCCGUAGGGUAGCUUGGCAUCCUACCACCCUGGGGCGGUGGCGACCCGAGUUCAAAUCUCGGCGGCCCCA
rnacentral:tRNA from 3 species